GACGAACGCUGGCGGCGUGCCUAAUACAUGCAAGUAGAACGCUGAAGGAGGAGCUUGCUUCUCUGGAUGAGUUGCGAACGGGUGAGUAACGCGUAGGUAACCUGCCUGGUAGCGGGGGAUAACUAUUGGAACGAUAGCUAAUACCGCAUAAUAGUAGAUGUUGCCUGACAUUUGCUUAAAAGGUGCAAUUGCCUCCCUACCAGAUGGACCUGCGUUGUAUUAGCUAGUUGGUGGGGUAACGGCCCACCAAGGCGACGAUACAUAGCCGACCUGAGAGGGUGAUCGGCCACACUGGGACUGAGACACGGCCCAGACUCCUACGGGAGGCAGCAGUAGGGAAUCUUCGGCAAGGGACGGAAGUUUGACCGAGCAACGCCGCGGGAGUGAAGAAGGGUUUCGGAUCGUAAAGCUCUGUUGUAAGAGAAGAACGAGUGUGAGAGUGGAAAGUUCACACUGUGACGGUAGCUUACCAGAAAGGGACGGCUAACUACGUG
rnacentral:rRNA from 1 species